rnacentral:tRNA from 1 species
UCCAGGGUAGCCUAGGGACAUGGCAUCUGCCCGGUAGCGGAACACUGUGGGUUCGAUUCCCAUCCCUGGAC